rnacentral:rRNA from 1 species
UGGGGAAUUUUGGACAAUGGGCGCAAGCCUGAUCCAGCCAUGCCGCGUGCGGGAAGAAGGCCUUCGGGUUGUAAACCGCUUUUGUCAGGGAAGAAACGGCCUUAAAUAAUACUUUAGGCUAAUGACGGUACCUGAAGAAUAAGCACCGGCUAACUACGUGCCAGCAGCCGCGGUAAUACGUAGGGUGCAAGCGUUAAUCGGAAUUACUGGGCGUAAAGCGUGCGCAGGUGGCUAUACAAGACAGAUGUGAAAUACCCGAGCUCAACUUGGGAACUGCAUUUGUGACUGUAUCGCUAGAGUAAGGUAGAGGGGGAUGGAAUUCCGCGUGUAGCAGUGAAAUGCGUAGAUAUGCGGAGGAACACCGAUGGCGAAGGCAAUUCCCUGGACCUAUACUGACACUCAUGCACGAAAGCGUGGGGAGCAAACAG